GGUAGCGGUCGCAGACAUAUAGUAGCAAGAUAUUACGUGCUUUUACCAUUACGUGCUCCGGCAAAAUAGUGACUCUUGUGCAGCUAACAUCGGCGCACAGUUUUGACGCACUAAAAAUUAUCCGAACGCAAGCAAUUGGGGAGAACCCAGUAAGAAGAAUCAACUACACAACAAGCCUAAAAAACAAUAGCAACACGGGGCUGUAGGAAGUCGCCAAUGAGUGCGGCACCACUCCAUUGCGAAAAGCGAACCCGAGCCCAUGAAGGCUUCACCGACCCAACCGGGCGAUGGCCACUACCGACAACAACCAUUCCGUAAUGGACGAACCGAGCUGCUGUUGUUGAUAAUGGCGAGUCUGCUGCUGCUGAAGUUAGCAACAAUAUCGAUACCUGAAACACUCACUCAGAAGUCUGGUUGUGGUAACGGUCGGAAAUGGCAAGCUAAAAAAGGUAGCCGACUGUGUCCGGUCGAUGGACACCUGAACCAAAAUCCGGGCACUCAGCUGGAGUGUGGUGCCGAAACUAGCAUCUCGGAAGUGGCAACAACUUGCAGCAUUAGUGAGAAUAUUAAAAAAAUCGUGAACGUAACCUAUUUGCAAAGUGUGAACUAAUAGCUUGUUGGGUCUAUCUGGGAGCGGGCGUCGGCGAAAUUAUGUCGAUUCAGCGCCGAGGUUUUGUUCACUGAUGAUCGUAUCUAGAGGAUCGCUUUUGUUUCGUCACGAAGAGUUUACCGGUAGCACUACCUUAUUACAUCGAGCUGGCCUUGCUAGAAAAUAUAAAUUUAACUAGGUACGAUUGAAGGACCCUUCCAGUGAGAAAGCAAGACUUAUCGAGGGAUAAACAACGUUUUAGCGCGAAAUUUGUCUAAUUCGCUGCGAGUCGUAUCGAGAACAUGUACUAUGUGAUCGUGUGCUUCUAGUAGUUCUCGUCUUAAAACUGCACACGCGUAUGUUUCAUGAUUGGCUGCUGUUACUGCUAUUGAUUCUAGCAUGUAGGCGCAUGAGAUUCAACCUCUACCUACCGAACGAUCCAGAGACCAACUCCAGCUACGAGUCCAGUAAUUCUAGUUUUACCAGUGAACUGUAGGCAUGGAACAUGUAUGAACAUAUUUGCAAACGUCAUUGAUUUCGAUGUGAGGUCGUCCGCCACUUACCGCCGCGCAAGGUCCUGCUGCGUCGAACAGCUAAAGCACUGGACGAUUAUCAAUCGAGAAUCAUCGCCUACCUUGGGGAACUGGCACCUUCAAACCAGAAUUGAUCGAGAGCGUAGAUGCCUCUGGGCUGUAUAUCGGGACAGACAAAUGGGUUCUUUCAUAUGCGUCCUGCUAACCUACUUGGAUCAAGCUUCUGGCUCAACACUGAACUUCCCUAUACGACGGUACUCGAGCACUGAAACCGUAUGAUAAUUAUAUCAGCAAUAAUUAAGUGCUAGCCGCGAACGACUAACUAACGACGGUGUGCACGUAACACAAAAGAAAUAGUCAAACGAGAAACCCCAUGAAGUAGGCCUUUAGUGAAGAUAGCAUUACGUUAUUCUCGAGACUUAUUUCAACUAUUCUGCUCAACUGUACGCCGGUCCCGUGCAUCGAAGGUUGCUAUGUGGUCGGAUGCGGAACUAUUCACUGAGGCAAGCCGUGACACUAUAGCCGUGCGAGGUUCUCCUGAAUAAUUCAAUGACAUCGUACAAGAGGAACCAUGACCGAAGGCCUAAAGCAAACGUAACGUUGAAAGUUUUUCCCUCUUCGAAUAUUACGCCUGUCUGCGAUCCCGACUAUAACAUAACCUGCCGACGAUCAUUGAGUCACAGUGAAUCUGGCCGGUUUCUAUGCACCCGAUUCUACUGAACCAGUUUCCCAAAAUCCUAAAAAUAAUUAUAUAAUUGCGUUGCAGAAAACACAGAUUCAUCUUGCUUAGUAUUAAGCGUUUAUUCCUAACUAAUGAAGAGUCCGCUAAAGGAGCCCGCUAAAGCCUGGUGUCUAACGUCACGUACAAACGGUUAUCUCUCGUUGUGACGAAAUGGCCACCUUUGCACAUGUAAAAGAUCUACUUGGUUAUUUACGUCGAAAAGACAGAAUACAACUGCAUCGUAUUGGCGGUUGUUAGAAAUCAAAUAUUGUUUAUUUGAUUUGAGACAUUUUGACAUGGAUAGGAGAAUGGCUAAAACGUGGGUGGAUACCGCCAGAGUUGAUCAGUCUAGCCUAAACCAUUUUGAGCUUGGACGGAAAUUUAAAUCUAAAAAUUUCACCCAUCCUUUUCAUGAAAAUUUCUUCGUUAAUUCGAACUGGAUUCGCCACCGCAAGACUUCGGUAGACGUACGUAUAUUAGGACAAGCUGCGGGUGUUAAAGCCUGAGCGCUGAGGUGUUAUUAUUAAUAAAUUCAUUGGAAGAAUUAUAUAGUGAAAUGUGUACUUUGUAUAAGUUUACGAAACUUUUUGUUAAGUCGAGAACUACAUGAGUCGGCA